GAGAAAUAAAAUUUUACACUGUUCGAUGAUUUUGAACUAACCAUACAUAUCUAAAUUAAUCACAAAAUUCUCAUUUUCUGAAUUCCAUUUUCUCUUCAAGGUCCUAACCAAAUAACUGUAGCAUAGAGGUGGUGAAUUAUCCAAAACUUCAAUAGCAACAGCAUGCCAAUAUUUAGGAAGAGUCAUCAUUAGAUAAUAUAUACUUUCCACCUCACAUAUAUGCUGUCCCAAAUGUAUCACUUCUCGACGCAUUGCUUUGAGAUAUUUUAUGUGUUGUAUUAGCUCAUGUCGCGGAUCCAUUUCAUAGUUUCUAUAAGCACGUAAUUUUUCAACACGUUCCAAAGCCCGUGCUCUACUAGCUGCUCCUCUAAGAAUGUUAAAAACCUGUGUUGAUCCAGUCAUAUCUGAUCAAGCACAAUAAUUGAAAAACUAGUCACAAUGGAUCGCAUAACCUAAUCAAGAUCCACCACUCAUAAAUGUAUAGAAAUGUGGUAUAUCAAAUACUUUGGGAGUACUUUUCAUUUUAAAAAAAUGAGAACACAAAAAAAAAAAAAAAAAAAACUCCCACUAGGUAAAUAUCACUUAAUAACACUUAAC
rnacentral:lncRNA from 1 species